rnacentral:rRNA from 1 species
GACGAACGCUGGCGGCGUGCUUAACACAUGCAAGUCGAACGGAAAGGCCCUGCUUGUGUGGGGUGCUCGAGUGGCGAACGGGUGAGUAACACGUGAGUAACCUGCCCUUGACUUUGGGAUAACUUCAGGAAAGUGGGGCUAAUACCGGAUAGGAGCUGCUGCUGCAGGGGGGGGGUUGGAAAGUUUCGGCGGUUGGGGAUGGACUCGCGGCUUAUCAGCUUGUUGGUGGGGUAGUGGCUUACCAAGGCUUUGACGGGUAGCCGGCCUGAGAGGGUGACCGGCCACAUUGGGACUGAGAUACGGCCCAGACUCCUACGGGAGGCAGCAGUGGGGAAUAUUGCACAAUGGGCGGAAGCCUGAUGCAGCAACGCCGCGUGCGGGAUGACGUCCUUCGGGUUGUAAACCGCUUUCGCCUGUGACGAAGCGUGAGUGACGGUAAUGGGUAAAGAAGCACCGGCUAACUACGUG